AAGUCGUAACAAGGUAACCGUAGGUGAACCUGCGGUUGGAUCAUUACGAAAUCCAAAAUAUCUUCUGCCAUUUCCAGCUGCAUCCGCGGUUGGGAAUGACGGUUGAUAAACACCCACCUGUGAACCACUGAAAGAAUUUCAGAGCGUUUAUACAAAGCAUAGCUAAAGCCUUUCCGGUUUAGGAAUUGGUUUUUUUUAUGUGGAUGCUCUGUACCCGCUGUCAUUUAUUCUUCUUUCUAUUUAGUUUAACUAUUGGAUAAAAAAAAUGAAGAAAUGACGGACCCACCCCAAUAAUUUAUCUUUUGUAUCUAGUCUAAUAAAAGAGAAACAAUGAGAAACAACUUUAGACAACGGAUCUCUUGGCUCUC
rnacentral:misc_RNA from 1 species